AAUCAACGCUGGCGGCGUGCCUCAGACAUGCAAGUCGAACGAUUAAAGCUCUCUUCGGAGAGUGUAUAGAGUGGCGCACGGGUGAGUAACACGUAAGUAAUCUACCUUCGAGUGGGGAAUAACGUCCGGAAACGGACGCUAAUACCGCAUAAUGCAGCGGCAUCGCAAGAUGACAGUUGUUAAAGAUUUAUCGCUUGAAGAGGAGCUUGCGGCAGAUAGCUAGUUGGUAAGGUAAUGGCUUACCAAGGCUACGAUCUGUAACCGGUCUAAGAGGACGGUCGGUCACACUGACACUGAAUAACGGGUCAGACUCCUACGGGAGGCAGCAGUCGGGAAUUUUGGGCAAUGGGCGAAAGCCUGACCCAGCAACGCCGCGUGAAGGAUGAAGUAUUUCGGUAU
rnacentral:rRNA from 1 species